AUUGAACGCUGGCGGCAGGCCUAACACAUGCAAGUCGAGCGGAUGACGGGAGCUUGCUCCUUGAUUCAGCGGCGGACGGGUGAGUAAUGCCUAGGAAUCUGCCUGGUAGUGGGGGGCAACGUUUCGAAAGGAACGCUAAUACCGCAUACGUCCUACGGGAGAAAGCAGGGGACCUUCGGGCCUUGCGCUAUCAGAUGAGCCUAGGUCGGAUUAGCUAGUUGGUGGGGUAAUGGCUCACCAAGGCGACGAUCCGUAACUGGUCUGAGAGGAUGAUCAGUCACACUGGAACUGAGACACGGUCCAGACUCCUACGGGAGGCAGCAGUGGGGAAUAUUGGACAAUGGGCGAAAGCCUGAUCCAGCCAUGCCGCGUGUGUGAAGAAGGUCUUCGGAUUGUAAAGCACUUUAAGUUGGGAGGAAGGGCAGUAAGCUAAUACCUUGCUGUUUUGACGUUACCGACAGAAUAAGCACCGGCUAACUCUGUGCCAGCAGCCGCGGUAAUACAGAGGGUGCAAGCGUUAAUCGGAAUUACUGGGCGUAAAGCGCGCGUAGGUGGUUUGUUAAGUUGGAUGUGAAAGCCCCGGGCUCAACCUGGGAACUGCAUCCAAAACUGGCAAGCUAGAGUACGGUAGAGGGUGGUGGAAUUUCCUGUGUAGCGGUGAAAUGCGUAGAUAUAGGAAGGAACACCAGUGGCGAAGGCGACCACCUGGACUGAUACUGACACUGAGGUGCGAAAGCGUGGGGAGCAAA
rnacentral:rRNA from 1 species